UGAAUAUUAACCAGUUCACGUGAGUCUGCAUAAAGAGAGGAACAACACCACUUACAAAGGAAAGGAAAAAAGCUUUUAUCUUCUUGAUUGGGCACAACUACUAAAAGGGCAAGGGAAUUUGAUGGACCUAGUAGAUCCAAGGUUGGGCUCAGACUUCAACAAAGAAGAGAUGAUGUUUACAAUCAAUGUGGCUCUCCUCUGCUGCAAUGUCACUUCAAUAGUUAGGCCUACCAUGUCUUCAGUUGUGAGCAUGCUUGAAGGCAGGGCUGCUGUUCAGGAAUUGGUCUCAGAUCCAAAUGCGUCAACUAAUGAGAUCGAAGCAAUGAGGAAACAUUUUGAAUCCAGUUUCGGAAGGAAAACUGGUGAGAGCCAGACACAAACCGCGUCAACUGAAGGGCCUUGGACUAGUUCAUCUA